rnacentral:pre_miRNA from 1 species
UUUAGAACUUGAGAUAUGGGUUGAACACUAAACAAUAUCUAGGCUGCAGGACAGAUUCCAACUUCUCUUUUGUUGCUACAAUUUGAACUUGAAAACGAUCUUUUUAAAUCUUGAACUCUUCAUGAAAGUUUUAGGUCUAUGUCUUAGCUUUCCAUC